AUCGCUUCUCGGCCUUUUGGCUAAGAUCAAGUGUAAAAUGGUCUAUAUAUUUUUCCUUUGGUCAAGUUGUAAAUGCCAUUGGUUUAUGAAAAGUCUCAGGAUUAUAUGCAAUAAAAUUGCAUUAAUUGGAAUAGGUAAACAAUUU
ensembl:snRNA U2 U2 spliceosomal RNA